rnacentral:rRNA from 1 species
AUUGAACGCUGGCGGCAGGCCUAACACAUGCAAGUCGAGCGGAUGAGGGGUGCUUGCACCCCGAUUCAGCGGCGGACGGGUGAGUAAUGCCUAGGAAUCCGCCCGAUAGUGGGGGACAACGUUUCGAAAGGAACGCUAAUACCGCAUACGUCCUACGGGAGACAGUGGGGGCUCUUCGGACCCCACGCUAUCGGCUGAGCCUAGGGCGGAUUAGCUGGUUGGUGGGGUAAAGGCUCACCAAGGCGACGAUCCGUAACUGGUCUGAGAGGAUGAUCAGUCACACUGGAACUGAGACACGGUCCAGACUCCUACGGGAGGCAGCAGUGGGUAAUAUUGGACAAUGGGCGAAAGCCUGAUCCAGCCAUGCCGCGUGUGUGAAGAAGGUCUUCGGAUUGUAAAGCACUUUAAGUCGGGAGGAAGGGCUGUAGGUUAAUACCUUGCAGCCUUGACGUUACCGACAGAAUAAGCACCGGCUAACUUCGUGCCAGCCGCCGCAGUAAUAC